AAAAUAGAGUGUUUCUCCUUCAAUUAUUAUUCUCCUGAAAAAGAUUGAUAUUCUGUGAAUGAAACCAAGUGAUCUAUACACUGCCGAGAGGCUAGUUUUAUGCCAGCAAAGAGGUAAUUGAAAUCAUUAGCAUUUACAGAAUACGUGAACCGGAUGAUCAUGCAUUUGGUCAGAUUGAGAGAUAGACAAUUGGCUUCGCAUCACGGUCCCAUUCUAGGAAGAUCAGAUUGAAUAAGGUCAUGACUAUUACCGCUGUCAGUGGAGUGGAACCAUUUUAGAUCGUCUGUGAAUAACAGUGAUCGUGAUUUACCUGAGAUGGAACUCUGGAUUCACUCCAAUAGACGACCGCCAAUAUCAUAUGAACGCAGCUU